CUAAAAUUGUAAAGAAAGAAGUGUUUUUUACCCUUUCCCAUACUACAAAAGCAAGGGGUCACCCAAUGAAAUUAAAAGGCAGCAGGUUUAAUACAAAC